rnacentral:rRNA from 1 species
GAUGAACGCUGGCGGCGUGCCUAAUACAUGCAAGUCGAGCGAACAGACGAGGAGCUUGCUCCCCUGACGUUAGCGGCGGACGGGUGAGUAACACGUGGAUAACCUACCUAUAAGACUGGGAUAACUUCGGGAAACCGGAGCUAAUACCGGAUAAUAUAUUGAACCGCAUGGUUCAAUAGUGAAAGACGGUUUUGCUGUCACUUAUAGAUGGAUCCGCGCCGCAUUAGCUAGUUGGUAAGGUAACGGCUUACCAAGGCAACGAUGCGUAGCCGACCUGAGAGGGUGAUCGGCCACACUGGAACUGAGACACGGUCCAGACUCCUACGGGAGGCAGCAGUAGGGAAUCUUCCGCAAUGGGCGAAAGCCUGACGGAGCAACGCCGCGUGAGUGAUGAAGGGCUUCGGAUCGUAAAACUCUGUUAUUAGGGAAGAACAAAUGUGUAAGUAACGAUGCACGUCUUGACGGUACCGAAUCAGAAAGCCACGGCUAACUACGU